UGCACAUCUAGUUUGCUGAACUGCUGUC
rnacentral:piRNA from 1 species